CAGCAGCCACGGGAAUACGUAGGUGGCGAGCGUUGUCCGGAAUUAUUGGGCGUAAAGGGAGCGCAGGCGGACAUAUAAGUCCAUCUUAAAAGUGCGGGGCUCAACCCCGUGAGGGGAUGGAAACUGUAUGCCUUGAGUGCAGGAGAGGAAAGCGGAAUUCCCAGUGUAGCGGUGAAAUGCGUAGAUAUUGGGAGGAACACCAGUGGCGAAGGCGGCUUUCUGGACUGCAACUGACGCUGAGGCUCGAAAGCCAGGGGAGCGAACGGGAUUAGAUACCCGCGUAGUCCCUGUCUCUUAUACC
rnacentral:rRNA from 1 species